rnacentral:rRNA from 1 species
ACGAACGCUGGCGGCGUGCUUAACACAUGCAAGUCGAACGGAAAGGCCCUGCUUUUGUGGGGUGCUCGAGUGGCGAACGGGUGAGUAACACGUGAGUAACCUGCCCUUGACUUUGGGAUAACUUCAGGAAACUGGGGCUAAUACCGGAUAGGAGCUCCUGCUGCAUUGUGGGGGUUGGAAAGUUUCGGCGGUUGGGGAUGGACUCGCGGCUUAUCAGCUUGUUGGUGGGGUAGUGGCUUACCAAGGCUUUGACGGGUAGCCGGCCUGAGAGGGUGACCGGCCACAUUGGGACUGAGAUACGGCCCAGACUCCUACGGGAGGCAGCAGUGGGGAAUAUUGCACAAUGGGCGGAAGCCUGAUGCAGCAACGCCGCGUGCGGGAUGACGGCCUUCGGGUUGUAAACCGCUUUCGCCUGUGACGAAGCGUGAGUGACGGUAAUGGGUAAAGAAGCACCGGCUAACUACGUG